GGCCACGUGGCGGAGUGGUUACGCAGCGGCCUGCAAAGCCNUGUACGUCAGUUCGAUCCUGACCGUGGCCUCCA
rnacentral:tRNA from 1 species